rnacentral:rRNA from 1 species
AGCGAACGCUGGCGGCAGGCCUAACACAUGCAAGUCGAACGGAUCCUUCGGGAUUAGUGGCGGACGGGUGAGUAACACGUGGGAACGUGCCCUUUGGUUCGGAACAACUCAGGGAAACUUGAGCUAAUACCGGAUGUGCCCUUCGGGGGAAAGAUUUAUCGCCGUUGGAGCGGCCCGCGUCUGAUUAGCUAGUUGGUGAGGUAACGGCCCACCAAGGCGACGAUCAGUAGCUGGUCUGAGAGGAUGAUCAGCCACACUGGGACUGAGACACGGCCCAGACUCCUACGGGAGGCAGCAGUGGGGAAUCUUGCGCAAUGGGCGAAAGCCUGACGCAGCCAUGCCGCGUGAAUGAUGAAGGUCUUAGGAUUGUAAAAUUCUUUCAGCGGGGACGAUAAUGACGGUACCCGCAGAAGAAGCUCCGGCUAACUUCGUG